CUACUUUCAGCUCUGCAAGUAAAGCGGUUGUUUAAAAGGAAAGAUUGGAGAAGUGAGAAGACAAGUGGAAUAAAGGAUGGGAUUAAAAUGGCGUUUCUCGUUGAUGCUGCUGCUCACAACCUCCGUUUACCUUCAAUUACCGUACGUCUCAGGAAAAGAUAAUGGAGUUUGCAUUUCACCUGGUGGUCGCUUUCCUCGAUUUUCAAAUGAAGGAAAACCUCCAAGAAAAGUAAAAAAGGGCCCAAGAGAUUUGAACCUCUGCAGGAUAUUUCGCGGAAAAACUUGCUGUGAUGUAACACAGACACAUCCUGCUUUGCUAUCCAUUAGGAGGCUUGCUUCAACUGGAGAGGCAAGCCAAGAGUGCUUGCACUUAUGGGAAAUGUUAGAAUGUUCAAUCUGUGAUCCACGUGUUGGUGUGCAGGCGGGACCCCCUGUUUUAUGCACCUCUUUCUGUAACAAAGUAUACCAAGCUUGCUCCAAUGCGUACUUCUCCAUGGAUGCUAAGACACAGGUUCUAGCACCCUGUGGUGUAAACGACUUUGUUUGUGGUAGAGCAUCCCAAUGGAUCUCUAAUGGGACAGAGCUCUGCCGCGUUGCAGGUUUUUCUGUGAAGUCUUUGUCUGAUGAUCCAGAGGAAGUUUCUUGCUAUGGUGGAAAAUCUAGUGUGGAUUUUAUUGCUGAUUCAUGGAGGGCCUCACAAUCCAAGGUGCAAGAAAAAACGGACAGUUCUGGAUUCAUUGAAGAUUUCAAACAAUGGGUGGAGGACAUGACAUUUAAAGAGAGAAUAUCUUGGGCAGUAGGAGGCAUGGUUCUUACAGCAGGACUUCUAUUUACCAGUCAAAGGAAAAGCCAUAGGCAACGCCAGAAACUAGCAGCCCUCCAACGCACGGCCAGGAGAUUGGGAGGAAAUGUGAAUCCGAGAUCUCCUACAAGUCAAGGGAGCGAAAAGGGUAGUUAAAGAUGAAUAUCUCCUUACUUGAGAGGAAUUUCAUCUUUCUACCGUGUUCCCAGACAAAGUUAGCGACGAGUACAGGCUUGUACUACAACUAAUUUGCAAGCACUGAUCGACCAAACUCAAAUUUAAAUGACUGGAAAGAGGAGACGUCUUGUCUAUGAUGCUCCAUUGGGUCAUGAACUGCAUAUUAAGCGCUCCUUUCACUUAACCCAUCAACAUCAUUGGGUGAGCUAAAGUUUGCUGAUGGCUCUACUACUACCAUUGUUGGGAGUUGUACUAUGAAAAAGUAGUUUCAAUCAAAAUUUCAUUGAUUGUAGCUAGUGACUGCCCGGAUCGGUAGUUGUUCCAGACGCAACUACCAUGGUUAUUAUGCUGCCAAUAUGUGCAGCAAAAGAGGAAGUGGAGUUGGGAAAGAUUAUUCAUGGUUUAACUGAAAAGCUAGGACUGGCGAACGAGUUAACAGUGAAUAAUUCUUUAGUGGAUAUGUAUUGCAAAUUUGGGUACUUUGCUGAUGCCAAAAUUCUGUUUGAGAAAAAUGAGAGCAAAAAUGUGGUCUCUUGGAAUUCAAUUAUCGGGGGUUAUUCAGGAGAAGGAGAUGUUAGAGGAACAUUUCAUCUUAUGAGAAGGAUGCAAAGUGCCAGUGAAUAUGUGAAGGCAAAUGAGGUCACUCUAUUGAAUGUUUUGCCUGUGUGCUUAACAGAAUCAGAGCAGUUGAUAGUGAAAGAACUGCAUGGCUACUCGCUUAGAAAUGGUCUUGAAUACCAUGAGUUAUUAACAAAUGCUUUUAUAGCCGCCUAUGCAAAGUGUGGAUUGCCCAGAUAUGCUGAGCUUGUAUUCUGUGGAGUGGCAAAUAAGACAGUAAGCUCUUGGAAUGCACUGAUAAGUGGCUAUGCUCAGAGCGAGGAUCCAUCCAAGGCUUUGACUCUGUCCUCUGAAAUUAUGGGUUCUGGUUUGCUUCCUGACUGGUUCACUAUUGGUAGCCUUCUUUUUGCUUGUUCCCGUUUAAAACAGCUACUGUGUGGUACACAAAUUCAUGGUUUUGUGCUUAGAAAUGGUCUAGAAACAGAUAUGUCUACAGGGGUUUCCCUAGUUUCAUUUUACAUGGAUUGUGGAAAACCUGAACUGGCACAACUUCUAUUUGACAGGAUAGAAGAUAAAAAUAUUGUAUCCUGGAAUGUGAUGAUAGCUGGUUACUUGCAGAAUGCACUACCAGACAAAGCCUUAUUUUUGUUUCGUGACAUGGUAUCUCUUAGAUUCCAACCUGAAGAAAUUUCUGUUACAAGUGUAUUGGGGGCUUGUUCAGCAUUGUCUGCUGUCAGGCUGGGGAAAGAAGUUCAUUGCUUUGCACUAAAAACUCACCUUAUAGAGGAUACUUUUGUCCGUUGCUCAAUCAUAGACAUGUAUGCAAAAACUGGAUUUAUAGGAAUGCCCAAGUUUUUGACCAUAUUCUGCUCAAAGAUAUAGUAUCAUGGACGGCUAUGAUUACAGGAUAUGCAGUUCAUGGACUUGGAAUGGAGGACAUCAAGCUAUUUCAGGAAAUGCAAAAAUAUGGCUUCACGCCGACGAGCUUGACAUACGUCUCUAUUUUAAUGGCAUGUAACCAUGCCGGGCUCAUUGAAGAAGGUCGACAAUAUGUUAGAGAGAUGCAGGUCCAUGGUCUAAAACCUGAAUUGGAACAUUAUGCAUGUGUAAUUGACAUGCUGGGUUGUGCUGGACAGUUUGAUGAUGCCUUAAAUCUUAUGGCUGAGAUGCCUAUGCAGCCAGAUACUCAAAUUUGGAGCUCAUUGCUCAGUUCAUGUAUGGUGCAUGUCCAAUUAAGUCUUGGGAAGAAAUGUGCUGAAAAGUUGCUGGAAUUAGAGCCAAAAAGAGCAGAAAUAUAUGUUUUGGUAUCCAACUUUUUUGCUAGAUAUGGGUACUAGGAUUCUGUUAGACAAUUGAGGCAAAAGAUGGAGGAGUUAAGCUUGCAAAAAGAAAUUGGUUGCAGUCGGAUUAAAAUAGGAGGAAAAAGCUAUAACUUCGCUGUUGGCGAUAUGCUUUCCAAGCCAUAAGAGCUAUAGUGAGGACAGAUGUGAUCAAAGGGAACAAGUUGAGUUGGUUAGUACCUGAAGAUUUGGUGCUUCAGCAAUUGAAGAGAGAGGGUUAAGAAUAAAUUGAGGUAGCUCAGCAAGAAACUCUUUAGGAUUCUAUUUCCUGGUACCAUGACCAAAAGGAACUCCUGCCUCCAUCAUCUAGCACACGAGAAGGAAGGACAAGUUAGAUGAACGCUAUUGCAUGACGGAAUGACCUCUCCCUCUUAUGGAAGCCGUUAUCUCGCAUAUUUCCCUAGAGGAAUAGUAGCGUUAUUUCUCUAUGGGCACAUGGCAUGGGAUUAUAAAACAUGGUUGUCACUUGACGCGGGUUCGUCUUGUUGAUGAUUCAAGGUUUUCCUCAAGGAUAGCAGCUCAUAAAAUUACUCCAAUGUGCUUUAAGUUAGUGCCAACUGCCAACAAUGAUUGUAAGGGAGAUGGUCACAAUGAUUGGAGAAGAGGCACUCUCACUAUUUUAAAGAUGGUUUCUCCUGAUAGAUGAUACAAGGAUGGAGUCACUUUGACCUGCUUUUGUGCCUCCCUAAUUGUUUCAGAUGUACAUAUAAGGCAGAAUCAUAAUCCUUAUUCUGUAGUUUGGCUUCUGUUUUAAUAGCAAAUGGUGUUUUCUAUAAAGAACGACUUUAAGUUCAGAAGAUAUUUUGAAACUUAA